UAGGGAAUCUUCGGCAAUGGGGGGAACCCUGACCGAGCAACGCCGCGUGAGUGAAGAAGGUUUUCGGAUCGUAAAGCUCUGUUGUUAGGGAAGAACGAGUGUGAGAAUGGAAAGUUCAUACUGUGACGGUACUUAACCAGAAAGGGACGGCUAACUACGUGCCAGCAGCCGCGGUAAUACGUAGGUCCCGAGCGUUGUCCGGAUUUAUUGGGCGUAAAGCGAGCGCAGGCGGUUAGAUAAGUCUGAAGUUAAAGGCAGUGGCUCAACCAUUGUAGGCUUUGGAAACUGUUUAACUUGAGUGCAGAAGGGGAGAGUGGAAUUCCAUGUGUAGCGGUGAAAUGCGUAGAUAUAUGGAGGAACACCGGUGGCGAAAGCGGCUCUCUGGUCUGUAACUGACGCUGAGGCUCGAAAGCGUGGGGAGCGAACAGG
rnacentral:rRNA from 1 species